rnacentral:rRNA from 3 species
AGAGCGAAUGGUGGAUGCCUUGACUGGUAAAGGCGAUGAAGGACGUACUAGACUGCGAUAAGCUACGGGGAGCUGUCAAGAAGCUUUGAUCCGUAGAUUUCCGAAUGGGGCAACCCAAUGUAUAGAGAUAUACAUUACCUAUAUAGGAGCGAACGAGGGGAAUUGAAACAUCUUAGUACCCUCAGGAAAAGAAAUCAAUAGAGAUUGCGUCAGUAGCGGCGAGCGAAAGCGCAAGAGGGCAAACCCAGUGCUUGCACUGGGGGUUGUAGGACUGCAAUGUGCAAGAGGUAAGUUUAGCAGAACAUUCUGGAAAGUAUAACCAUAGAGGGUGAUAGUCCCGUAUGCGAAAAACAAACCUUAGCUAGCAGUAUCCUGAGUAGGGCGGGACACGAGGAAUCCUGUCUGAAUCCGGGUCGACCACGAUCCAACCCUAAAUACUAAUACCAGAUCGAUAGUGCACAAGUACCGUGAGGGAAAGGUGAAAAGAACUGAGGUGAUCAGAGUGAAAUAGAACCUGAAACCAUUUGCUUACAAUCAUUCAGAGCCCUAUGUAGCAAUACAGGGUGAUGGACUGCCUUUUGCAUAAUGAGCCUGCGAGUUGUGGUGUCUGGCAAGGUUAAGCAAACGCGAAGCCGUAGCGAAAGCGAGUCUGAAUAGGGCGCUUAGUCAGAUGCUGCAGACCCGAAACGAAGUGAUCUAUCCAUGAGCAAGUUGAAGCUAGUGUAAGAACUAGUGGAGGACUGAACCCAUAGGCGUUGAAAAGCCCCGGGAUGACUUGUGGAUAGGGGUGAAAGGCCAAUCAAACUUCGUGAUAGCUGGUUCUCUCCGAAAUAUAUUUAGGUAUAGCGUUGUGUCGUAAUAUAAGGGGGUAGAGCACUGAAUGGGCUAGGGCAUACACCAAUGUACCAAACCCUAUCAAACUCCGAAUACCUUAUAUGUAAUCACAGCAGUCAGGCGGCGAGUGAUAAAAUCCGUCGUCAAGAGGGAAACAACCCAGACUACCAGCUAAGGUCCCUAAAUCUUACUUAAGUGGAAAACGAUGUGAAGUUACUUAAACAACCAGGAGGUUGGCUUAGAAGCAGCCAUCCUUUAAAGAAAGCGUAAUAGCUCACUGGUCUAGUGAUUUUGCGCGGAAAAUAUAACGGGGCUAAAGUAAGUACCGAAGCUGUAGACUUGCACACAACUUAGAUUAUUUAAGUUUAGAAUAUGAGAAACUAAGUUAUAUGUUUAGUUAUAUUUUUACUGAUUUUUAUAGAGUAAAGAUAGAAAUAAAACUUAGUAAAAUCAGUAAAAAUAUUCUUAGACUAAAGUUAAGUAGUUUAAGUUGUGUGCAAGUGGUAGGAGAGCGUUCUAUUUGCGUCGAAGGUAUACCGGUAAGGAGUGCUGGAGCGAAUAGAAGUGAGCAUGCAGGCAUGAGUAGCGAUAAUUAAUGUGAGAAUCAUUAACGCCGUAAACCCAAGGUUUCCUACGCGAUGCUCGUCAUCGUAGGGUUAGUCGGGUCCUAAGUCGAGUCCGAAAGGGGUAGACGAUGGCAAAUUGGUUAAUAUUCCAAUACCAACAUUAGUGUGCGAUGGAAGGACGCUUAGGGCUAAGGGGGCUAGCGGAUGGAAGUGCUAGUCUAAGGUCGUAGGAGGUUAUACAGGCAAAUCCGUAUAACAAUACUCCGAGAACUGAAAGGCUUUUUGAAGUCUUCGGAUGGAUAGAAGAACCCCUGAUGCCGUCGAGCCAAGAAAAGUUUCUAAGUUUAGCUAAUGUUGCCCGUACCGUAAACCGACACAGGUGGGUGGGAUGAGUAUUCUAAGGCGCGUGGAAGAACUCUCUUUAAGGAACUCUGCAAAAUAGCACCGUAUCUUCGGUAUAAGGUGUGGUUAGCUUUGUAUUAGGAUUUACUCCGAAAGCAAGGAAACUUACAACAAAGAGUCCCUCCCGACUGUUUACCAAAAACACAGCACUCUGCUAACUCGUAAGAGGAUGUAUAGGGUGUGACGCCUGCCCGGUGCUCGAAGGUUAAUUGAUGGGGUUAGCAUUAGCGAAGCUCUUGAUCGAAGCCCGAGUAAACGGCGGCCGUAACUAUAACGGUCCUAAGGUAGCGAAAUUCCUUGUCGGUUAAAUACCGACCUGCAUGAAUGGCGUAACGAGAUGGGAGCUGUCUCAAAGAGGGAUCCAGUGAAAUUGUAGUGGAGGUGAAAAUUCCUCCUACCCGCGGCAAGACGGAAAGACCCCGUGGACCUUUACUACAGCUUGACACUGCUACUUGGAUAAGAAUGUGCAGGAUAGGUGGGAGGCUUUGAGUAUAUGACGCCAGUUGUAUAUGAGCCAUUGUUGAGAUACCACUCUUUCUUAUUUGGGUAGCUAACCAGCUUGAGUUAUCCUCAAGUGGGACAAUGUCUGGUGGGUAGUUUGACUGGGGCGGUCGCCUCCCAAAUAAUAACGGAGGCUUACAAAGGUUGGCUCAGAACGGUUGGAAAUCGUUCGUAGAGUAUAAAGGUAUAAGCCAGCUUAACUGCAAGACAUACAAGUCAAGCAGAGACGAAAGUCGGUCUUAGUGAUCCGGUGGUUCUGUGUGGAAGGGCCAUCGCUCAAAGGAUAAAAGGUACCCCGGGGAUAACAGGCUGAUCUCCCCCAAGAGCUCACAUCGACGGGGAGGUUUGGCACCUCGAUGUCGGCUCAUCGCAUCCUGGGGCUGGAGCAGGUCCCAAGGGUAUGGCUGUUCGCCAUUUAAAGCGGUACGCGAGCUGGGUUCAGAACGUCGUGAGACAGUUCGGUCCCUAUCUGCCGUGGGCGUAAGAAGAUUGAAGAGAUUUGACCCUAGUACGAGAGGACCGGGUUGAACAAACCACUGGUGUAGCUGUUGUUCUGCCAAGAGCAUCGCAGCGUAGCUAAGUUUGGAAAGGAUAAACGCUGAAAGCAUCUAAGCGUGAAGCCAACUCUAAGAUGAAUCUUCUCUAAGCUCUCUAGAAGACUACUAGUUUGAUAGGCUGGGUGUGUAAUGGAUGAAAGUCCUUUAGCUGACCAGUACUAAUAGAGCGUUUGGCUUAUCU